CUUGUAACACGUCUGUUUAAUGUUACUAUAAUAAGUAUUUAUUCGAACUAAAAACAGUCGAACAUCGAGUUGAAAUUCACCCACCACCAAGGGAUCUCCUAACAGAGUCUCCAAUCCUUUUGUCCGAUGACGACGAAGUGAAAGACGAAGAACUUUGUUUGAUCGAUCUUACAAAGUUGGAAGAUGAUUAUCGAGAGGAUUCGCCGGAAGAGACCAACGCGAUCCCUUUAACCCAAUCGCAGUCUGAUUUUCCGUUUACAUCUCCUGCUCGCUGGUCUCCCUCAACGCUGGCGGGUCCGUCAACGGCCAUUCCAGGCAGAGGAGAAGGCUUGAUUGCGCCAAAGACUCCAGACAUCGAAUCCUUGCUCCGAGGGGAAAUCAUCGAAAACGACGGUGAAUGUCCGACAGGCACCCGCUGCAACAAACGCAGGAGGAAGCGUAGAUGCGCCCGCCAGCUCGACAAACAUGAUAGAAACAGAAGAAGGCUGAAACAGUACUAUCGUAUACUGGCUCGCACUCUCAUGAAGAUGGCAGACAUGAUUUGAUACAUACUGGUUUGUUAUAUCUGUUCCAUUCGAAUUAUUUUUUCUUUUUUUUUCUUUAGAGAAAUAUAAUGGGUGUAGUUCCAUCUGAAUUAGAUGUAGUUAUUGUAGAAGAU